UGUGCCAGCAGCCGCGGUAAUACGAAGGGUGCAAGCGUUACUCGGAAUUACUGGGCGCAAAGCGUGCGUAGGUGGUUCGUUAAGUCUGAUGUGAAAGCCCUGGGCUCAACCUGGGAACUGCAUUGGAUACUGGCGAUCUGGAGUGCGGUAGAGGGUAGCGGAAUUCCCGGUGUAGCAGUGAAAUGCGUAGAUAUCGGGAGGAACAUCCGUGGCGAAGGCGGCUACCUGGACCAGCACUGACACUGAGGCACGAAAGCGUGGGGAGCAAACAGGAUUAGAUACC
rnacentral:rRNA from 1 species